AUUGAACGCUGGCGGCAGGCUUAACGCAUGCAAGUCGAGCGGGGUGAUGGUGCUUGCACUAUCACUUAGCGGCGGACGGGUGAGUAAUGCUUAGGAAUCUGCCUAUUAGUGGGGGACAACAUCUCGAAAGGGAUGCUAAUACCGCAUACGUCCUACGGGAGAAAGCAGGGGAUCACUUGUGACCUUGCGCUAAUAGAUGAGCCUAAGUCGGAUUAGCUAGUUGGUGGGGUAAAGGCCUACCAAGGCGACGAUCUGUAGCGGGUCUGAGAGGAUGAUCCGCCACACUGGGACGGAGGCACGGCCCAGACUCCUACGGGAGGCAGCAGUGGGGAAAAUUGGACAAUGGGGGGAACCCUGAUCCAGCCAUGCCGAGUGUGUGAAGAAGGCCUUAUGGUUGUAAAGCACUUUAAGCGAGGAGGAGGCUCUUUUGGUUAAUACCCAAGAUGAGUGGACGUUACUCGCAGAAUAAGCACCGGCUAACUCUGUGCCAGCCGCCGCCGUAA
rnacentral:rRNA from 1 species